UUGUUAGGUCACAUAGCCAUAACUAACACAGUGCGGGCCGGUGUAAAAUUCUGGAUAUUCAAUUUCAUCCGUUAAGGGCUGCGACAAUGUUGCAUAAAGGUAACCUUAAGCCAUAAAUGCAGAGGCAAUGACCAUUGUGGGCAUGCACCAUUAGUCAGAAAACGCUAAGGUGCACCGUAAGCUUACGGUGCAACCAUAAGCAAUAAAAAAACAAUUUCUCCCUCUUCCUCCCUUCCUUUCACUCCUCUGUAGACAUGGUCGUUGGUCUUGGCGCCACCGUCGGAAGCUCACCGA
rnacentral:lncRNA from 1 species